GAAUCAAGUAAUUUGCUCCCAGCAGUCGAGCGAAAAGAAACACGAACUGCUAACGCAGAAAGAAGCGGAAGUAAAUCGAUUACAUCCGCAGCUCGUUCCUCUAACGCGAUUCCAAGAAAGUGCCAGAUCACGUGAUAGGGGAUUUUUUUCGGUUGAUGUCUUAUGAAAUCGGCGCGAAAGCAGUGCAAGCUGGCUUGAAUGUUGAUAGUCUAGCAACCGUUACUGCACUUUUGUGAGAAGAAAAACGUUUUUAAGCGUUAAAAGUCCAAACGUGGAAAGGUUUGUUUGCAGUAAUGUCCAGAAGAGAGAAGAGAGAAGAUGUGAAAAGGGUGGAAUCGCUGACAGAUUCUUGCUGGAGUUCCUGGUACGUCGCUCUUGUACCUAAGGCAUAUGGUUCAAAAAACUACGAGCGACGUGACGAGGGCCACUACGGCUUUAUUUACAGCAAGAUAAGGGAGAGAUUCCUCUCAUACGAUGAUGGUAUCUAC
rnacentral:misc_RNA from 1 species